GCGUAAAGCGCAUGCAGAUGGGAUAUCAAGUCAGGUGUGAAAUUCCGGGGCUCAACCUCGGAACUGCAUUUGAAACUGAUAUUCUUGAGUUUGGGAGAGGGUAGUGGAAUUCCAGGUGUAGAGGUGAAAUUCGUAGAUAUCUGGAGGAACACCAGAGGCGAAGGCGGCUACCUGGCCCAAAACUGACACUCAGAUGCGAAAGCGUGGGGAGCAAACAGGAUUAGAUACCCUGGUAGUCCACGCUGUAAACGAUGUUAACUAGCCGUUUGAGGAAUUGACCCCUUGAGUGGCACAGCUAACGCAUUAAGUUAACCGCCUGGGGAGUACGGUCGCAAGAUUAUAACUCAAAGGAAUUGACGGGGGCCCGCACAAGCGGUGGAUUAUGUGGUUCAAUUCGAUGCAACGCGAAGAACCUUACCUGGUCUUGACAUCGGGAUACGGGCCUGGAUACAGGUCUCACCUCUUCGGAGGAGUCCCAGACAGGUGCUGCAUGGCUGUCGUCAGCUGCGUGUCGUGAGAUGUUUGGUUAAGUCCAGCAACGAGCGCAACCCUUACUGUUAGUAGCCAGCAUUAAGUUGGGCACUUUAGUGAUACUGCCUGUGUUAAGCAGGAGGAAGGUGGGGAUGACGUCAAGUCCUCAUGGCCUUUAUGACCAGGGCUACACACGUAAUACAAUGAGUGGUACAAAGAGCAGCGAGCUAGGCGAGGGUAAGCGAAUCUCAAAAAACCAUUCACAGUUCGGAUUGGAGUCUGCCAAAUCGACUCCACGAAGUUGGAAUCGUUAGUAAUCACGGAUCAGCAUGCCGCGGUGAUACGUUCCCGGGCCUUGUACACACCGCCCGUCUACACCACGAAAGUCGAUUUAACCGGAAGUCGUUGUGC
rnacentral:rRNA from 1 species